rfam:Vigna angularis cultivar Jingnong 6 chromosome 2, whole genome shotgun sequence.
AGCCAUGUAGUGAAUACAAAGCGAACUAUUCUUUCGCCUUUUACUAAAGAAUACCGUGUGUUCACUACUUAUAAUGGCAUACGAUAAUUUUUGAAGAGGGCCUGCAGUGCAGGUCCU